GACGAACGCUGGCGGCGUGCCUAAUACAUGCAAGUAGAACGCUGAAGGAGGAGCUUGCUUCUCUGGAUGAGUUGCGAACGGGUGAGUAACGCGUAGGUAACCUGCCUGGUAGCGGGGGAUAACUAUUGGAAACGAUAGCUAAUACCGCAUAAGAGUAGAUGUUGCAUGACAUUUACUUAAAAGGUGCAAUUGCAUCACUACCAGAUGGACCUGCGUUGUAUUAGCUAGUUGGUGAGGUAACGGCUCACCAAGGCAACGAUACUUAGCCGACCUGAGAGGGUGAUCGGCCACACUGGGACUGAGACACGGCCCAGACUCCUACGGGAGGCAGCAGUAGGGAAUCUUCGGCAAUGGACGGAAGUCUGACCGAGCAACGCCGCGUGAGUGAAGAAGGGUUUCGGAUCGUAAAGCUCUGUUGUAAGAGAAGAACGAGUGUGAGAGUGGAAAGUUCACACUGUGACGGUAUCUUACCAGAAAGGGACGGCUAACUACGUG
rnacentral:rRNA from 1 species